rnacentral:sRNA from 1 species
AUUCUGCCCAAGCGGGGAAGGAUGAGAAGCUUCGACCAAGGUUCGACUUGAACGCCAGCGAGAGAGCGUUGCCGCAGGCAACGACCCGAAGGGCGAAGCGCGCAGCGCUGAGUAAUCCUUCCCCCACCACCA